AUGUGGAUCUACCGAUAGCUUGCUUCGUCCCCUAAUGAGCGAUAAACAUUGAGGGGGUUCGAUUAAUCCCGCCCGGACGCCUGUGUUUGCGUGUUUUGCAUCGGCUGAAAGUUGAUUUCAUUCGUUUUGGAGAUGGGCUGCCUUCCGGUGUUGUGCCGAAAGCUCCCUCUGCCAGAAUCCUAGCGAGCAAGUCGCAGCAAUGAAGAAUUGAGUGCGUGCCCGUUCACUGCAAGGGGGGGGGGGGGCUUUUCGGGACAACACUGUGCGUGAGCCAGAUGCCCAGUUCUAAGGACACAGCGUAAAGUUGUGGGCUCAACAAAAAAAGGGACAUAAUUAAGCACGUGUAGUAAUUACUAGGAUUCUGUGAAAACACCAAAUUCUACUCCGUGUAUGUUGAUUAGCCAGCCAAAUAGAAAAAGGAACCAGCCAUGCCUUCCUGUUUAAACAUUUUUGCUGAAUGGGCUUUAUUUUGGUGGCCUCUGGCAUAGCCGGGCGAAGUAGGAGUGCUGCAGCCCCCUUACAUUUGCGACUCGAGUUUCCAUCUUCUCUGAGAAAGACGUUACAUUUCAAUCUAAAUGGCUGAACAUUUAGUAAUUCAGUGUAUUGUUUAGUUGUUUUGGAUAUGGUCUAGGCCUAUAUGAUCCAGACAAUCUUCAAAGGGGAGAACAUGACACCUAUUAAACAUUAAACAGCUUCUCUUGAGAUUCAACUUAUUUACAUUUUACUGCAAGAUAUUAAAUGCCACAAUGAUUUGUUCUCCAAAUUGUUUAUUUUAUUAAAACAAACAUUUUCUUGAAGUAGUGGUGAGCUAUUAACCAAAACAGGUUUUCCCCUGUUAUUAAACUACUAAUUGACUGACAUCGGUUCAAUUAUUUGAUUUCCAUUUAGUUCCGUUUUUUGUGCGAGCUCAACGUGCCAUUUCUCUAGAGAGAAAUCAAAUCAUUCAGGAGAGAAAUUAAGUCACGACCUAUGUGGGACGCUUAGCUGAUUGGAAUGUCGUUUUCAUGACGCAAAUGUUCAACCUUGUCGAAGAUGAUCUAUUAUAUUGACAAGACAGUCGGGUGAAUGCUCUAACAAUGGAAAUACAUGGCCUCAAAGAUGGAAGGCAGGCGGGAGGAGGCGAGAUCAGGUGGGCUCGUUCUUAGCCAAUGAGACGGCAGAUAGUCUGCAGUUGCUGUACACCUAUAUCAUUGCAUUUGUAACAACAGAACCAUGACGAAACUUAUUUUAGAUCAAAUAAAAGUCACGUAUCAAAAUAGCAAUUCAAUUUGUUGACCAAAUUCGACACUCUCAUUGACCUCAAAACAAAAAUUCCUCAUUCCGUGUUCUUAUUUUUGUGGACAACUUUUGGGUGGAGUAAACCCUCUCAAUUUGCCUCUUCAUCUCUGACCUUGUUCAGUGCAGAAACGUGGUAAUUAACUACAAUGACCAUAAUCCAUUGUGCCUAUUCUUUCCGGGCAGAGACAGAGGCGGAUACACACACAGAUCAUAUGAAACCACAUGAGAGAGAAAUGUAGUCUACACAACGACGAGAGGGAUUGAGACUCCCUGCAGCUCUCUCUCGCUGACUCUGAAGAGGAGGUUCCCCCUGAGCAGCAGCACUGUGAGCAGGAGUGGAGCCCCAGUCUGGAGCAGAAGGACCCAGAGCCCACACAGAUUAAAGAGGAACAGGAGGAAGUCAGGACCAGUCAGGAGGAAGAGCAGCUUCAAGGGGUGGAGCCUGAUAUCAUAGAGUUCAAUUUCACUCCUUCCUGUGUGAAAGGUGAAUGUGAUCAGGAAGAUCCACUUCAGUCCUUGACUCUUCCCCAAACCCAGACUGUGGAGAACAGAGAGAGUGACUCUAAACCAGUAGAUCCUGAACCUUUUGGCACUGUGACCCACCUUAAGGGUUUCAACAUUCCUUGUGGCCCUCCAGAUAAUCAGAAGAAUGCCUACAGCCACAGUUCAGCCAUAUGCAGCAACCCAGUAGGACUUGACAGCAGCCCACCAUUGGAUCCCAACCCACAAUUGGAUCUGAUCCCACCAAUGGGGGAACUCUGCACCUGCCCCUUUUGUGGCAAGACCUUCAAACAAAAAGGAAAUCUGUCCAUGCACAUGAGGAUUCACACAGGAGAGAAACCUUUUAGCUGUGGUGACUGUGGGAAGAGCUUUAUUCAGAAGGGGGACCUAAGGAGGCAUAUCCUGACUCACACAGGGGAGAAACCAUUCAGCUGUAAUUUUUGCUGUAAAAGCUUCAAUCAGAAAGGGGACCUAAGGAGGCACAUCCUGACUCACACAGGAGAGAAACCAUUUAGCUGUGAUUACUGUGGCAAAGGAUUCAUUCGCAAGGAGCACCUAACUGCACAUAUACGGACUCACACGGGGGAAGUUUCGGUCUCAGGCAGAACCUAACCAUGCAGGAACUGAUAUAGAUCUAUGAUCGAUUUUAAUGUUGAAAACAUUCUGUAAAUAAAGUUUGAUUUGAUUUGAAUGAUUGAGGUAAUUAUCAAACAGCACAGAGGAUUGUAGGAAAUUCACAGGUCUGCUGUUCAAAGUCUGUAGUUCUCUUCAUUAGAAACAGGAAUAUCUGAUGGUUUGAUUAGGAAUGUCUCUCGUGGUGAUAAAGGAAGGGGGCGGGCUGAUGUUGUUGAUGCCACGAAAUACAAUUCCAAAAAAUAUCUCCUUCCAUUUUCUCAAGAGUUUCUCAUCAAUUCAGUUGCUGCUCAUUCACGAUCUGAAAUUGCGAUUCGAUAUUGCGAUGUUAUUGCUGCUAUUUGAUAUUUUCGUAAACAUAUCGCUCCCUAUAUGUCUCCUGCAGAGAGACGAGAGAGCAUCAGAAAAUGUGUUUUGAUCAUGGAAAUAAAAGUGAUGAAAACA